rnacentral:rRNA from 1 species
GGCCCAGAUCGUUUACCGUGAAAAAAUUAGAGUGUUCAAAGCAGGCAGAUCCAAUUUUCUGCCACCGAAUACAUUAGCAUGGGAUAAUGGAAUAGGACCCUGUCCUCCUAUUUUCAGUUGGUUUUGGCAGCGCGAGGACUAGGGUAAUGAUUAAUAGGGAUAGUUGGGGGCAUUAAUAUUUAAUUGUCAGAGGUGAAAUUCUUGGAUUUAUGAAAGAUAACUUCUGCGAAAGCAUCUGCCAGGGAUGUUUUCAUUAAUCAAGAACGAAAGUUAGGGGAUCGAAGACGAUCAGAUACCGUCGUAGUCUUAACCAUAAACGAUGCCGACCAGCGAUUAGGAGACGUUGAAUACAAAACACCACCAUGUAUAAUUCAGCACAUGACAUCCUCACGGGUGGUUGUGUGUUGAUUGUAUAUGGCUAUCGGUGAAUGACUCCCCUAGCAGCUUGUGAGA